AAUUUGCAGUGUGUGGCUGAGGAAUAUUGUGGAUGUGUCCAGUGACAUUUCGUCAGCUUUUCACUGAUACACGUCAAGUGUGCGGAGCGGCGUGAGUCCUAUUGGCAGUGUCACGGAGGUGUUGCAGCAGGCUUUUUGGGCGCUGUUGAGCCUUGCGUCCUUUUUGCACAAUCAAUACUGACUACUGAGCAGCUGCAGUAAUGAACGCAUGACAAGCAGUGCUAUUAUAAAGAUUUUGGCGUUUAUUUCUUCAUGGCGGUCCAGGCUUGACCCGCUCUUCACUGCCUCUUAACGGAUGCAUGUAAUAUGAACUAACCGAAUAUCCUAUCUGCACGAAGGGAGGAUUGCCUUUGUGGUUGGACUGAUAGCGUUCCCGGCCAGUGAGCGCGCAGCUAAAUUUAGCCGUGUUGAUUACUUAACGGUUUGACUACGGUGGGGUAUUUAAAUCGUAUAUCUCUGUAUUGUCACCCCUGUUGUGUUUAUUAUUUUGUUUGAUUUUCUUUUGAUUUUUUUUUAAGUUGUGGUGUGGAAACUCCUAUUUGGGGUUUUUGUAUGAUUUGAUUUGUUUUGUAAAUGUGAUGUUUUUCAUGAUGUUUUGGUGCUGCCUGUUUGUAAGUAAUUGAUAAGGAGAGCCGCUAUAACGAGGUGAUGCUAACUCCUUUGGCAGCGGUGUUCUUUUAUAAAUCAUAGUGUAUUGCUCAUGCGUGUCGUUUGUGUGUUUGUCUAAUUUUAUUCUUCUCCCUUCAGAAUUGGGGUACCAGUGCGAGCCAGUGUCUGCAGUGUGUGGUGGUGGGACAGCUGUCAACUUGAAGUGAUCACGAUUUGGUGUGAGGUGUUGUGAGAGAACACGAGUGCUUGUGUUUAGCUAAAAGGCAGUACAACUUCCCCAGUUCUGAAGUGGUAAAACAAGAGUGUGCAUGGAUGAAUGAUGUUGUGAUUUAUUGUACUCUUUUUAACUUUUUGCAUAUUAAAACGAAUUAUGUAUUUUCUAUGUGAUUUGAAUAAAUUGUUUCAAAUAUUUCCUGUUGUCUGAUAUCUGUCUCAGCCACUGCGUAUUUGUGUGCUUUUGGUACUUCUGGGUCCCCGGCCCAUUUCCGGGGUGGCGUAGUCAAUUUAUUGCCAUAUUUGGUAUUGGUUAAGUACUCUUACAUGCCACAUUUGGCGUAUAGUCGGCAGGGUAUUGUGGCUGUUGUACAGACUCAGACACAGUGAAAUUGUGUUUUUGUUUUGUUUGUUUUUUUUCUAGUGGUGACAAAAGAGUGGAGAUUCGAUUGAAUUGGGGUACCAGUGCGAGCCAGUGUCUGCAGUGUGUGGUGGUGGGACAGCUGUCAACUUGAAGUGAUCACGAUUUGGUGUGAGGUGUUGUGAGAGAACACGAGUGCUUGUGUUUAGCUAAAAGGCAGUACAACUUCCCCAGUUCUGAAGUGGUAAAACAAGAGUGUGCAUGGAUGAAUGAUGUUGUGAUUUAUUGUACUCUUUUUAACUUUUUGCAUAUUAAAACGAAUUAUGUAUUUUCUAUGUGAUUUGAAUAAAUUGUUUCAAAUAU